GAGGAGUGUGCGUCGUCUGGAAGUGAAAACUGUGAGAACAUCGCUUCGCUGUCAAUCAAGUGACAUCAUCUUCUAUGCGAAGAGAACGUGAGUGAAAUGGAGAAGAGGAACCACCGUAAUCGUAUGCUGCGAGAUCUGAAACGUUUGCAAAACGAAGUCCCAGCGGCACACGGGUCAAAGACAAUCGACCAAGAGGGAAGGAAACUCGCCAUAACAAUCGCUGAGUCCGGAGAAAAAAAAAAAAAAAAGCAAAAUUCGAAAGUGAGCACCAGGAAGGAAAUGUUCUAUAAGCGGUGCCGCCACGAGCGUGCCCAUAGGGCACUUCAAGUGUGCAACAGCAACCUGUAUUGCGCUACGUCUACGAUUACCAAUGCAGAAGUAUCAUGCUUCAGUGGAUCUGUACAGAGAUGAAGACUCCGAUGGAGCGCGCGCAUCGCAUCACGCAUCUCACGAAACAUUAUGUACGAAAAGGAAAGUACGCACUGUCCAUUGUGUGGACCACUGAGUACAGAUUGGGAUGGCGGCCAAAUGAUCGGAGGAAUUCUUUCACACGGGAAGCAACGGGGAGCUGUCUCCUUCUGUGACGUCUACCAGACAUGAGAGGUCACGUCAUCUGCGUAUAUAUAUCGUUUUUGUGUAGCAGUGCCGUUGAUUUUCUUUUCUUGUUUUUUUUUUUUUUUUGUAGUUGUAUCGGGCAACUGUAACCAUGAACGGUACACAGCUGUCGUGGGUGUACUCUCUGAAGGGAAAGAAGGAGUUAAGUUUAGUCCUGGUGGCUAUAGAUACAUUGCCACAACCAUUAGGAACUAUUCCUUCACCCCAUAGCGCGCUCCUACCCAAUUAUGAAUGACAAUUAUGAACAGCAUAAGUGUCACCAAAAAGGUGUACG